CGCAACGUUGUGUUGGUCGGAUAAGGUGAGAGGUGGAGGUGGCGGUUGAGUGGAGGUGGAAGAGGGGAGGUCACGACGCAGCUGCUCCUCGCCGGAGAAGCAGGGAGACGGACAAGGUUGUCGUUUUUUUUAUUUUUAUUUUUUAGUAAAUUUUUCAAAAUAUCAAAACGACGUCGUUUUGCUCACGUGGCUUGCCAGCGUGUAAAAAAAGCCACGCAAUAUGCCAUGUAAUGUCCACGUAAUCACCGGUCAAACCUAUUCCUCGCCGGAAAUUUCGCCGUGUGCAAUUUGCAACAAAAUUAAAAAGUGAUGUAUUUUGAGGCUAUUUUUGAA
rnacentral:lncRNA from 1 species